rnacentral:misc_RNA from 1 species
GAGAUUGUGCAGGAUUUGCUUCUUUCUUCAUCAAGCUUUGCUCUUGUUUAGCAUACGAAAAAGAUGGGAAACAAGCCUCCUUAGAUUUUGUUCUCAUCAAGGACGAAGCAAAUUGUCUAGGAAAAAAAAUAUCAUCAUUAGAAGGGAUUUCAGUGUCUUCACUGUUUAAUGUACACUCCAUCUCUCCAUCACAGUUCUCUGCAGAC